rnacentral:rRNA from 1 species
UACGGGGGGAGCAAGCGUUGCUCGGAUUUACUGGGCGUAAAGGGCGCGUAGGCGGCCAGCACAAGUCAGUUGUGAAAUCUCCGAGCUUAACUCGGAAAGGUCAACUGAUACUGUGCGGCUAGAGUGCAGAAGGGGCAACUGGAAUUCUUGGUGUAGCGGUGAAAUGCGUAGAUAUCAAGAGGAACACCUGCGGCGAAGGCGGGUUGCUGGGCUGACACUGACGCUGAGGCGCGAGAGCCAGGGGAGCGAACGGG